AUUGAACGCUGGCGGCAGGCUUAACACAUGCAAGUCGAACGGCAGCACAGAGGAGCUUGCUCCUUGGGUGGCGAGUGGCGGACGGGUGAGGAAUACAUCGGAAUCUACCCUGUCGUGGGGGAUAACGUAGGGAAACUUACGCUAAUACCGCAUACGACCUUCGGGUGAAAGUGGGGGAUCGCAAGACCUCACGCGAUUGGAUGAGCCGAUGUCGGAUUAGCUAGUUGGCGGGGUAAAGGCCCACCAAGGCGACGAUCCGUAGCUGGGCUGAGAGGAUGAUCAGCCACACUGGAACUGAGACACGGUCCAGACUCCUACGGGAGGCAGCAGUGGGGAAUAUUGGACAAUGGGGGGAACCCUGAUCCAGCCAUGCCGCGUGUGUGAAGAAGGCCUUUUGGUUGUAAAGCACUUUAAGCGAGGAGGAGGCGCUCUAGGAUAAUACCCUAGAUGCGUGGACGUUACUCGCAGAAUAAGCACCGGCUAACUCUGUGCCAGCCGCCGCGGUAAGAC
rnacentral:rRNA from 1 species